AUACGGAGGAUCCGAGCGUUAUCCGGAUUUAUUGGGUUUAAAGGGUGCGCAGGCGGGAGAUUAAGUCGGCGGUGAAAUUUUGCAGCUCAACUGUAAAAGUGCCUUCGAAACUGGUUUCCUUGAGUGUAGAUGAAGUAGGCGGAAUUUGUGGUGUAGCGGUGAAAUGCAUAGAUAUCACGAGGAACUCCGAUUGCGCAGGCAGCUUACUAAACUACUACUGACGCUCAGGCACGAAGGCGUGGGGAUCAAACAGGAUUAGAUACCCUGGUAGUCUACGCAGUAAACGAUGAUUACUAGCUGUUUGCGAUACAAUGUAAGCGGCUGAGCGAAAGCGUUAAGUAAUCCACCUGGGGAGUACGUUCGCAAGAAUGAAACUCAAAUGAAUUGACGGG
rnacentral:rRNA from 1 species